GUGGGGAAUAUUGCACAAUGGGCGAAAGCCUGAUGCAGCAACGCCGCGUGAGCGAUGAAGGCCUUCGGGUCGUAAAGCUCUGUCCUCAAGGAAGAUAAUGACGGUACUUGAGGAGGAAGCCCCGGCUAACUACGUGCCAGCAGCCGCGGUAAUACGUAGGGGGCUAGCGUUAUCCGGAAUUACUGGGCGUAAAGGGUGCGUAGGCGGUCUUUCAAGCCAGAAGUGAAAGGCUACGGCUCAACCGUAGUAAGCUUUUGGAACUGUAGGACUUGAGUGCAGGAGAGGAGAGUGGAAUUCCUAGUGUAGCGGUGAAAUGCGUAGAUAUUAGGAGGAACACCAGUAGCGAAGGCGGCUCUCUGGACUGUAACUGACGCUGAGGCACGAAAGCGUGGGGAGCAAACAGGAUUAGAUACCCUUGUAGUCC
rnacentral:rRNA from 1 species